GAAUCUUGGACAAUGGGCGCAAGCCUGAUCCAGCCAUGCCGCGUGAGUGAUGACGGCCUUCGGGUUGUAAAGCUCUUUCGCCCACGACGAUGCUGACGGUCGUGGGAGAAGAAGCCCCGGCUAACUUCGUUCCAGCAGCCGCGGUAAUACGAAGGGGGCUAGCGUUGUUCGGAAUUACUGGGCGUAAAGCGCACGUAGGCGGUUCAGCAAGUUGGGGGUGAAAUCCCGGGGCUCAACCUCGGAAUUGCCUUCAAAACUGCUGGGCUUGAGUUCGGAAGAGGUGAGUGGAAUUCCCAGUGUAGAAGUGAAAUUCGUAGAGAUUGGGAAGAACACCAGUGGCGAAGGCGGCUCACUGGUCCGCAACUGACGCUGAGGUGCGAAAGCGUGGGGAGCAAACAGG
rnacentral:rRNA from 1 species